rnacentral:rRNA from 1 species
GAUGAACGCUGGCGGCGUGCCUAACACAUGCAAGUCGAGCGGGAUCUUGCUAAAUGACGCUUCGGUUGAUUUUAGCAAGUGAGAGCGGCGGACGGGUGAGUAACGCGUAGGCAACCUGCCCUUUGCAGAGGGAUAGCCAUUGGAAACGAUGAUUAAAACCUCAUAAUGCCAGACUGAGACAUCUCUAACUGGCCAAAGAUUUAUCGGCAAAGGAUGGGCCUGCGUCUGAUUAGCUAGUUGGUGGGGUAACGGCCUACCAAGGCGACGAUCAGUAGCCGACCUGAGAGGGUGAUCGGCCGCAUUGGAACUGAGACACGGUCCAA